rnacentral:misc_RNA from 1 species
GGAAGUAAAAGUUGUAACAAGGUCUCCGUUGGUGAACCAGCGGAGGGAUCAUUACCGAGUGCAAACUCAUAACCCUUUGUGAACCUAUAUCUGUUGCUUCGGCGGCUCGCUCUCGGGCGAGCCCGCCGGUAAUAUCAGUAUCUCUGUUUGAACCCGACGAUACUUCUGAGUGUUCUUAGCGAACAGUUAAAACUUUUAACAACGGAUCUCUUGGCUCUA